AUACAUACAUGCACAUACAUCAUCUAGUAUAUAUACAUACUGUAUAUAUAUGUGUAUAUAUAUAUGUGUGUGUGUAUAUAU